CCGACCUUAGCUCAGUUGGAAGAGCGCAAGACUGUAAUGGGUACCUCGUUUAAUCUUGAUGUCGCCUGUUCGAGCCAGGCAGGUCGGA
rnacentral:tRNA from 1 species